GUACGGAGGUGCGAGCGUUGUCCGGAAUCACUGGGCGUAAAGGGCGCGUAGGUGGCGCGGGCAGUCAACGGUGAAAGUUCGGGGCUCAACCCUGAAUCGGCCGUCGAUACUCCCGGGCUUGAGCACUGUAGAGGCAGAUGGAAUUCCGGGUGUAGCGGUGGAAUGCGUAGAGAUCCGGAAGAACACCGGUGGCGAAGGCGGUUAGCUGGGCAGUUGCUGACACUGAGGCGCGACAGCGUGGGGAGCAAACAGGG
rnacentral:rRNA from 1 species